AAGUAAGACACAUAGCGAAAAGGUUGUGUGUCAAAAGGAAAAGAGUCCAACGGAUAGGUUAAGGUUCAAAAGG
rnacentral:rRNA from 5 species